GUGAAUCAUCGAAUCUUUGAACGCACCUUGCGCCCUUUGGUAUUCCGAAGGGCAUGCUUGUUUGAGUGUCAUUAUAUUCUCAAACCUUGAUAGCUUUGCGGCUACUCGAGGCUUUGGAUGUGAGGGCUUGCUGGCUUCCUUAAGUGGCGGUCUGCUCCCUUUAAAUGCAUUAGUGGGAUCCUUUGUGGAUCGGUCACUUGGUGUGAUAAUCUAUCUACGCCGCCUGGCUGAGAAGCAUAUAAUUGGGAACCUGCUCAUAACCGUCUGCUUGCAGACAACCUUCUUAAUGUUUGACCUCAAAUCAAGUAGGACUACCCGCUGAACUUAAGCAUAUCAAUAAGCGGAGGA
rnacentral:misc_RNA from 1 species